rnacentral:rRNA from 1 species
GGGGAAUUUUGCGCAAUGGGCGCAAAGCCUGACGCAGCAACGCCGCGUGAGUGAAGACGCUUUUCGGAGUGUAAAGCUCUGUCAGAGGGGACGAAUCGCCGUGGUCUCAAUAGGGCCAUGGUCUGACGGUACC